CAACACUGAGCUUUCAGUUUUCUCUUUCAGAAAGGCUGAAAAAACUCAUUGGCGAACGAGAGUCCUUACUAGACCAGGUGAAAAAGUUAAAGGGACAACUGGAAGAAAAGCAGAAGAAUGGCAAGUUGGAGAACGCACAGUCUGAGGUUGAAGUUCUGGAAAAUGGGACAGACAUGCACAUGAUUGACCUCCAAACUUCGUUCAGCACUGGAUAAAACUGAAGAGCUCGAAGUCAGCAACGGUCAUCUAGUAAAACGCUUGGAGAAGAUGAAGGCCAACCGCAGUGCUUUACUGUCACAGCAAUAACCACCACCUCUCAGUGGAAACGACUACUGGGCAGAAUCCGAACAAUGUUACAGAUGCUUCUGUGUCUUGCUGUCUGGGAUGCUUUGCGUCAUGCCUUCUGACAACAGACAACUGCAACGUUUGCUAGGUGCCACCCAGCUGUGGUUCUCUUUACGCAGAUUCAAAUCUACUGCACUAUAUCCCUAGGAGUAGCUGAUCCAAAUGGCUGUGCCUGCGGGGCCCUUCUACACACUACUGUGGGUACACUGGGCGUACAAUAUCCAUAUACCAUAUAAGAAGCACAUCGGGGCGCCGCGUUAAGUUCUUUCUCCACCCAGAAGGCAUGGCAGCUGUCUCUCGCCAUUUAAAAUGGCAUUCAAAGAAAACACUUUAACUGGACUGGAAUUUUGUGUCUUGCUGAGAAUUUUAAAAAAACACUGUAAGUUUUAGACUUUCUCAUGACGGUAUCUGUAAUUUAGUGACUACGGUAGAGUUAUUCAUAGUAGGCUUUUCAUUUACAAAUCACUGUGGAACCACAAGCCAUUACAAAGCAAAACUCCUUCAGUGGAAACCGUGGAAGAAGAUGGUCUUGGAAGCAAAAGUGACCUUAAAUGACUUUGCCAAUAAAACAAAGGUGUUUGGAGG
rnacentral:lncRNA from 1 species